UGGGGAAUAUUGCACAAUGGGCGCAAGCCUGAUGCAGCCAUGCCGCGUGUGUGAAGAAGGCCUUCGGGUUGUAAAGCACUUUCAGCGAGGAGGAAGGGUAGUGUGUUAAUAGCACAUUGCAUUGACGUUACUCGCAGAAGAAGCACCGGCUAACUCCGUGCCAGCAGCCGCGGUAAUACGGAGGGUGCAAGCGUUAAUCGGAAUUACUGGGCGUAAAGCGCACGCAGGCGGUUUGUUAAGUCAGAUGUGAAAUCCCCGCGCUUAACGUGGGAACUGCAUUUGAAACUGGCAAGCUAGAGUCUUGUAGAGUGGGGGUAGAAUUCCAGGUGUAGCGGUGAAAUGCGUAGAGAUCUGGAGGAAUACCGGUGGCGAAGGCGGCCCCCUGGACAAAGACUGACGCUCAGGUGCGAAAGCGUGGGGAGCAAACAGGAUUAGAUACCCCUGGUAGUCCACGCUGUAAACGAUGUCGACUUGGAGGUUGUGCCCUUGAGGCGUGGCUUCCGGAGCUAACGCGUUAAGUCGACCGCCUGGGGGAGUA
rnacentral:rRNA from 1 species